ACAAUUAAGCCUAUGGAAUGUUCCCAUAAUGAUAGGAAUAUCAGCAUGUGUGUUCAUUAAUUCAAUCAAUUAAUGGUCAAUUUUAAUCUAAGUCCAUAAAUAGUACUAUUUAAAAAUUUGAGGUCAGUAAUAGAUAGCAGCACAACAGUACUGGAGCAAUGGCUGCUGAACAUUUUUUUUUUUUUGAUCAAAUAAAUGUCUUCGUAAGCAUAAGAGACCUCAGUCAGAAACAUUAAAAAAAAUCCUAUUGACCCCUAACCUUUGAACGCUAUAUAAACAGUCUAGUCAUGUCUAAAAGUGUCUUUCUAAGUCUCUCAUAGAUUGCUGCUCACGGGUGUUAGUCCAUAACAUCAGUAAGGUAACAUUAGGUAAGUUGACAACAAGAACAUCAGGUCAAUCUGCUGCUGUCCAGAAUCAGGUGGUUUGUCUUCGUCUGGCAUCUCAGCUGAGACCUGUCCACUAUGAGUGACCCUUCCAGUAGUUGUGAAGUACCAGUGGUGUAGCUCUCAGCAUCACCGAUGCACACAAGCCCUCACAGCACGUCAAGCUGCAAACCGUGUGAGGGUCCCUAACCUACCCUACUCAACCGUUUAAGACAACCGCAUGUCAACCAGCCACUUAAAACAUCCUAACAACCUCAUUAGCGACGCAUGAAAAACCAAACCGAGGAGUCCAGCAACCACAACGCAACACAAACAACCGUUCAGAAAACCUCGGGAAACACAAAUCACCAAAAACAUCCCGACAACCACAUAGCAAAGCACUAAAAGCCUGUUAGAACAACAGAGGACCACAAAUCAACGCACUGACAGUCACCAAAACAUCUGAACAAACACGCAGAAAUGUGCUAAAAACUUACUCUACAAAUGAUGUACAAUAUUUACAUACAUAGGUCCCGCUGUGUGACGCUCCAUGUGACGCUGUGAUGACUCAGUGUCUGGGCUUCUUUCUUCGGGGUUCCUCGGGCAGAGGCUCUUCACUGAUGUCCACGUGGAUUCGUGGAGCGAAGCGUCUGCUGGUGGUGAAGCUCUCUGUGACGAGGACGUGUCCAUCUGGCUGUUCUGUCUCCAGCAGUGAAGGGCAGUUGAGUGUCUCCCACAGACGCUGCUUGAUCUUCAGCCCCAGCUCAAGGCUGUAGCGGCGCUGUCGACCACAGCGUGUCUCCAUCAUGGGCUCCACAGAGCGAUAAAUGUCCUGGUAGCUCUGUACGCUGCAGCCGUGGAUGGAGAUGGGCUCUUCCUGCUGACACAGAGACACUGGACACACAUCCACUGAAGAGACUGAGGCUGCUGGACGGAUGUCAGGAAGGACAGCAGCGUUCUUCAGAUAGCGCUCUUCUAACCUGUUGGGUCUGUGAGUUUUGGCAGAGAUGCAGCUGUAGGUGUGAUCUAACCUGAUAACAGCUGUCUGUUGUGAAAGCUCACAGGCCUCUUGAAUGGAAGAGACGCCCUCCACCGAGAAUCCCCUCAGGUGUGUGGGAAGAGCCCUGCUUCCUCUGGGGCGACGCUGCUCCAUGAAGAUGCCUAGAGAAACACUUCACAAAUUACACAAACUGAUGGAACUCACCAAACUGUAGAGUUGAAGACUUGUAGCGUGUGAUCAGGCUUCAAAGUUUCAGGGACAAUUGUGUUGAUUUCAAAUAUCAACUCAAUUUCAAAUAUCAACUAAAGCUGCUGUUACUGACAUAGAAUGUUGAGGCUCAUUUAAAUGUAAACAAUACUUACAAGCAAAGGAGGAGAAGAAUUACAAUAUCUCACUGAAGGAU